GAGACCUGAAGAAAAUGCAAGUGCCCAUCAGAUUUGUAUGUAAAAGAGAGAGAAUGAAAAAGAAAAAAAAAAUGGAAAAUGUUGAAAAGACGAUAAAUAUCACCUCAUCUCUUGCGUACGUCAUGACAUUUCUUUAUAUAAAAUCAUUUUGACAAAUUAAUUUCACUUUUGCCGCAAGUGUGAGGUGAAGUUGAAGAUAAAAGGUCUCCUCGCGGUGGGAUUUAUUAACAACCUUUUCACCAUCAAGAGGAUUGAAGCAUUCACAGAUCUCAUGUCAUUUUAAUGUUCACUUUUCAGUGAAUAAAGUUUUAUUUGAUAAAUUUAUAAGAGUGUGUUAUGUUAUUUUCCUCACCAUGAAGCAUCAAUUAAAUACUAAUAGAUACUCAUGCCAAUUUAUAAUACAAAGCUGAGAAAGGUAGAUAUUAUACAUACAUAUAUGUAUACUUAUACACUCUUAUAUAUAAAUAAGAUCUUUUCAAAAUUACCUGUCCUGAAGAGUCGUCUUAAAACCAACUCUCUCGCCAUGGCAACUUUAAGAGCAAAAUGCAAUCAAUUGCCAUGUUACAAAUAUCAACAAUCCACUUAAGAGAAAUUUACUGUAAUACAUAUUUCCUAUAUAUAAUAUCCACGUAACAUAAACUACAUAGAGGUGGACCAUAUAUUGCGAGUAUUAAGUGCAUUAAACUAAAGAUUAACGAAAGCAAAUAGUAUGUGGUAUGUUAUGUAAACAAGAAUUAUUAAAUUCAGUCUCGUCUGUGACAAAGUAUUUUGUUGAUAAUAAUCUCUGCAGAGAAAAUAAAAUCUUAUUGGGUAUUGAGCUUAAUUUUCUAAUUUAUGAAACCACUUAGCUAUAAAAUAGAUUUAAGUAAGAUUUUAAACUCAAAUGAAAUUUAAAAGAAAUUGAAAAAUAAAAAGAUAUAAUCGCGAACAUCUAGUGAAUCUCCACAAGAAACGUUUUCUUCAGAUUUGUAGUUUUUACUUCAAAAGUUCUCUCGUAAGAAACUUCAACAACACUUCUUCAAGUAUUUUUUUUUAAAGAUUUUAUUCCAUAAAACUAGCGAGAGAGGUAUCAUUAAAAUUGUCUGAUGGUUGUAUUACCUACAAUUUAGUUUGUAUAUCCACGUGGAAAUUAAAUUUCUGUUGAUCUCACUUUUUCUCAACAAAGUGUAGUAGAUAGGCAAAUAAAAAGAGUCACGUUUAACUACUGUUAAUUUUUGAUGUUUUAUACAUCUUUUCACCGUCAAUAUGUACGUGCGAGACACCUUACGCAUUUAAUUUACUAAAAUUCUGUAACACCACCAUCAUAUAACAGUGUCUCUCUUUUUUCUCACUUUCAAUCUUUUUUUCUUAACUCUUUCCGCAUUACACGUGAGAGAGAUGCCGAACAAUACCGUACUUUGGGCAUGAAAAACAGUCCAAGAUAAUUCAUAUUAAAAAUUCAGCUGGUCUAUUAGGUAACAGCUAUAAUCUUUUUCUUUUUAUUUAUUCCUCCUACCGUAAAGAAACCUUUACAAUGUGCGUUUUUUUUAUAUUCGUGAUGUGACGAUUAAAUAUAUUGAUUCAUAUCUUGGUGCUAUCGCAAUGCACUGACUUUGUAGUUUGUUGGUUUUUUCUUUUCGUCUCUGUGGGAUAAUCUCCAAUUGGAUAUAUCAUGAAGCAAUAGCCAAACAUUAACCCUUUACCUUUGAAUUUUUCUGUAAAUCAAACAAAAAACCGCAAAUAUUGAAAAAAUUUCGCAAGUAUGUAUUUUUAUUCUCAUUCCUCGUUAUUUACUCAAGCUAAAUUCAUACCAUUUAAUCCACGAAUGAGUUAUUUCAUCUUGGAGCGCGUUGAAAUAGUUCUAGUGAAAUUUUUUUUAACUAUUCCCUCAUUCUGCUUUCAAUCGAUCCAUUUGGAAAUUUCUACUUGUUUUGGGAAUCUAUUAAAUAAUUCCUCAUUUAUUUAAUUCUUUUAAAGAUCAUUUUACUUCUAUUAUCAAAUUCGUUGACACAUAGUUGAUAAAUAAUAUUGUUUUUUUUUUACUUUGUCUUUGAUGAUUCAUUUAAAUUUUUCCACGGAUAAAUUUUUUAUUUAAAAAAAAAUAUGCUUUUGAUGUGAUAGAGCACACUCCCAAAUUGCCUCUACAUUAAUCUGUGAGUGUCAAUUAAUCAACCAUGGUCCAGUGAAACAAUCACCACACAUAUGCCACGAAAUAUUCCUCCUCUCGCAUCACAUGAGCUGUCCCUGAGACUUUUAGGGAAUUUUCCACUCGUCAGGGACACACAAGGAGCGUCGGCAAAGGCAAUUUCAUACAAUCCUCCUCUACACAAAAAAAAAAAAAUAGGGGUGGAAUCCUUCCAAGACAAGUUCCAUCAACAAGGACAUUUCUUGCAAAAGAGAAGCUUCAUGGAUUUUGGGAUAAAUCGAAUGGGAUGCUAUACGUAAGAUCACAGAUAAAAUAAGCUUAUGGGAUUAUCCUAUAUGAAAACAUUCUGUGUGCGGUGUAAAACGAAAGAAACUUUUGGGUCAUAUAUUCCCAGCCAAACCAUGAAAGAAAAAUGAAAAAAAAAGAAUUCUCUUGCAAAACAAUUGAAGUGUAUUUUGCUAAAUUAUUCACAAUUGCACACGCACAAUGGCAAAGCUUCAUCUUAUGUCGCGCGAGAUAGUACGAGCCUGAAGACUCCAAGCAGCCUUUGUCUCAACACGUGAAUAUAAUCUAACUAAAUGACGCACAUUGUAUAAACAAAUAAAUAUUAUGUUGAUUUACCAGCAACACACAUUUUCUCCCCAAAGCCGAAUAUUUUGUAAUACCGAAUCUUUGCGAAAAUUAGCCAUUUCUUUCAGAAAGAUUAAAAAUUUUAAGAAUUUGCGAAUGAAUUUUCGAAGGUUUGCAAUUAGCAUGUCCUAGUAAGAAAAUGUUAGUAAGUGAAUUUAAUACUAAAUUUGAGGAUCAUCAACUUUGGAUAGAAAUUAAUUCAGAUUUCAUCCAAAAACAAUUUGUAAAAAAAGAAGUUUAAAUAAAUAAAUAGAAGAAUUCAUGUUUCAAAAUAAGAGUUUUUGAUUGGCUAAUAAGUUUGAACAA